AUGUCACACAGAUGAUAAAGAGCAAGGAUAGACCUCUUCAUUUCAUGUUUGAGGCAAUUCUCUAAGACAGCUGAUUUCUCCAGAGCUGGUAGUUUAUUCCCCACUGUAGGAGACAGACUUGCUCACGUGAUAGAUCCGGCCAUGAUAUUGUCCCUAAGAGAACGAGAUGCUCUUUGCAGAAGACAUAGAAGAUUCCUGAAACUGGGAAAGGGGCCUAGAAACCUGGAGAAGAGUGAAGAAGGCAUUUUCCCUCCCCUGCUUAGGCAUCUGCCACCAUAUUCAAUACUUUCUCCAGGGUUCUCAGGUUUCCCAUUGGCUUGGAAUUUGUCAAUUAGUUUUGCUGGCUGGACAGAAAGCCACACGGAUCCUCUU
rnacentral:lncRNA from 1 species